rnacentral:tRNA from 1 species
AGCUUUUUAGUUUAUGUUAAAAAUGGGUGCUUGUGGCGCGCUUGAAUUUAGGAGCUU